GACGAACGCUGGCGGCGUGCUUAACACAUGCAAGUCGAACGGAAAGGCCCUGCUUUUGUGUGGUGCUCGAGUGGCGAACGGGUGAGUAACACGUGAGUAACCUGCCCUUGACUUUGGGAUAACUUCAGGAAACUGGGGCUAAUACCUGAUAGGAGCUCCUGCUGCAUGGUGGGGGUUGGAAAGUUUCGGCGGUUGGGGAUGGACUCGCGGCUUAUCAGCUGGUUGGUGGGGUAGUGGCUUACCAAGGCUUUGAUGGGUAGCCGGCCUGAGAGGGUGACCGGCCACAUUGGGACUGAGAUACGGCCCAGACUCCUACGGGAGGCAGCAGUGGGGAAUAUUGCACAAUGGGCGGAAGCCUGAUGCAGCAACGCCGCGUGCGGGAUGACGGCCUUCGGGUUGUAAACCGCUUUCGCCUGUGACGAAGCGUGAGUGACGGUAAUGGGUAAAGAAGCACCGGCUAACUACGUG
rnacentral:rRNA from 1 species